CUCGUCUCUGCUUAAGCAUCUCUGUGAGACAGACAUCACUGGCAGAUGGAUGCUCACAGCAAAAACUACCUCCUGUACAUAGCUACCUAUAUCCAACAUCUGACCAGUACAUUCUUGGAUUUUUCAUAAAACAUUGCUGGAAGGGGAAGGUGUCCUUUGCCACAAUAUCUUCAUAUGCAGGAAGGAGGAGACAGAUCCUCAGUGUCCACUGGAGAACUAUGAAGCCGUAAUCCCAGGAGCAAGCCCUAGCCACUGAAGCAAGAGACAGAGGAAGGGGCAUCCCUUGCCUGUCUCACUGAAGCUCUACAGGCAGGAAUACAUAAGCCACAGAGCCAGCCAAGAAUAUGAUGUGGUAUCUAGUGGGAUAGACUUCUCCACUGAAGAGAAGCUGCAGUGUCUUCCCAGAAGCCAUAAAGAAUAUUCAGCUCCUUUUGCCUUAGCUGAGAAUGUGGAAUGGAUUUUGUUUAAGAAGAUAAUUUCUAAAAAGGUUACCUUCAAAAUGCCUCCUCAAGUUCUUUGAAUCAACAAUUCUUUCCCUCAGAACUGUUUCACUAAGCCACAGGGGGAAGGAGAAGCUGUGAAGAGUGCUCUGAACAGCCCCUACUGCUCUUCUAAGCAGAAGAAAGCAAACCAGAACAACCCAUGUGCUAAGAUUAAAACCUUCUCAGCUCUGCAAACAAGGCAGCCCUGUGCAAACUGCCAUUUGAGAAUGGCCCAUUACCCCUAACUACUUGGGUGUUAUUUGUGGAAUGUUAUGUGAGUCAGACUAAAAAUCCACUAAAAUUUGGUGAUGACAAUCUUGUGUCACAAGACCAUGGCCCUGUUCAAUGUGAUAGUACAGGUAUAGCCUACGAGUUGAGAAAGAAGGAAUUGAGAAUGGAGAUUGGAUGCCAGUGGAAAUGGAGCCAAAAGAACAAAGAAAAAAAGCUGAUAACACAUUUCUGAAAACUUCACUGGGAAUGUCAUUGAAAUCCAAACCGGUCCUCAGGGACUCAGAGAAAGGAGCUCCAUCAGAAAGUUUGAUCAGGCAGCGAAUGAAAAAACUCAGAUGUUAUUUAGAUUGGAGUAAAAUUUUUCUGAGUUGGCAAAGGGAAA